CACGUCGUCAACGUUUGGUGAGUGAUAAAAUGUUGAUUGUAAUUUUUUUUUUUUUUUUUACAUGUGGACGGUCUGUGUUCUCCAUCAGUGACUUUUUAAAGAUGACGUUUAUGUCAACGCGGAGGCAGCGACCCCACAAAAGAAAGCUCACCUGGCGUCAGCCCGACAACGUUUUCACUUUCCUCUUCCAUAAUUCAGCACUUUACUGUGGUCGGCGAGCGCUCAAAGGCAGUUUUUGUGCAGACGUUUGAUGACGCCAAAGAGCAACACGACGGUUGCUUGACCUUGCGAGUCUAUUUAAAGACUUUUCGAGAAGUGCGCUUUUUAUUUUUAUUUUUCCUCUGAGUGCAAAACAUCAAGAUAGGUUACACACUGGGAGGAGUUCUUUUUGUGAACCUUGCUCAAAUUGAAGCGAAAUCCCGCAUCAAAGCGUCAUCGCUGGAGUGAAAUAAAUUGUGACUUUGAAAUGUA